rnacentral:rRNA from 1 species
AACGAACGCUGGCGGCAUGCCUAACACAUGCAAGUCGAACGAGACCUUCGGGUCUAGUGGCGCACGGGUGCGUAACGCGUGGGAACCUGCCCUUAGGUUCGGAAUAACUCCCCGAAAGGGGUGCUAAUACCGGAUAAUGUCUUCGGACCAAAGAUUUAUCGCCUUUGGAUGGGCCCGCGUUGGAUUAGCUAGUUGGUAGGGUAAAAGCCUACCAAGGCGACGAUCCAUAGCUGGUCUGAGAGGAUGAUCAGCCACACUGGGACUGAGACACGGCCCAGACUCCUACGGGAGGCAGCAGUGGAGAAUAUUGGACAAUGGGCGAAAGCCUGAUCCAGCAAUGCCGCGUGAGUGAUGAAGGCCUUAGGGUUGUAAAGCUCUUUUACCCGGGAUGAUAAUGACAGUACCGGGAGAAUAAGCGCCGGCUAACUCCGUG